rnacentral:pre_miRNA from 1 species
AUCAUGUACUGCAGUCGCCUUUUUCUGCCUAUGCUGGUCAAGCCUAGCAUAGGCACCAAAAAGCAAAAACAGUAUGUGAA